rnacentral:rRNA from 1 species
AGUGAACGCUGGCGGUAGGCCUAACACAUGCAAGUCGAACGGCAGCACAGUAAGAGCUUGCUCUUACGGGUGGCGAGUGGCGGACGGGUGAGGAAUACAUCGGAAUCUACUUUUUCGUGGGGGAUAACGUAGGGAAACUUACGCUAAUACCGCAUACGACCUACGGGUGAAAGCAGGGGAUCUUCGGACCUUGCGCGAUUGAAUGAGCCGAUGUCGGAUUAGCUAGUUGGCGGGGUAAAGGCCCACCAAGGCGACGAUCCGUAGCUGGUCCGAGAGGAUGAUCAGCCACACUGGAACUGAGACACGGUCCAGACUCCUACGGGAGGCAGCAGUGGGGAAUAUUGGACAAUGGGCGCAAGCCUGAUCCAGCCAUACCGCGUGGGUGAAGAAGGCCUUCGGGUUGUAAAGCCCUUUUGUUGGGAAAGAAAAGCAGCAGGUUAAGACCCCGCUGUUCUGACGGUACCCAAAGAAUAAGCACCGGCUAACUUCGUG